GACGAACGCUGGCGGCGUGCUUAACACAUGCAAGUCGAGCGGUAAGGCCCUUUCGGGGGUACACGAGCGGCGAACGGGUGAGUAACACGUGGGUGACCUGCCUUUAGCUCUGGGAUAAGCCUGGGAAACCGGGUCUAAUACCGGAUAUGACUCCGCGGCGCAUGUUGUGGGGUGGAAAGCCUUGUGCGGCUGGAGAUGGGCCCGCGGCCUAUCAGCUUGUUGGUGGGGUGAUGGCCUACCAAGGCGACGACGGGUAGCCGGCCUGAGAGGGCGACCGGCCACACUGGGACUGAGACACGGCCCAGACUCCUACGGGAGGCAGCAGUGGGGAAUCUUGCGCAAUGGGCGAAAGCCUGAUGCAGCGACGCCGCGUGAGGGAUGACGGCCUCGGUUGUAAC
rnacentral:rRNA from 1 species